UGUUUUACAUUUCAAAUCUUCUUCAGAAAAUUCCAAGGGAGUGAUACUGUGUUUUGCAUUUGCUGAUUUGUGUUUUAUGCUUGAAGUCCUACAAGUGGUAGAUUGCUUGCAUGUUUAAUCCAUGCAGUACUGUGCUCAUUAUAAGAAUAUAAAGAGGAAGAAAUAUUCUCUUGUAGAGAUACAUACUAAUCUUUAAUUCACAGAAUUAUUUGAAAACUGUGAUCCUUCCUAGAAUGGACUUUCAGAGGUAAAAAGGAACUAUCCUUUUCUUUCAAUAGCAGGAUACUACAAAACCAGGCACAAGUUUUACUUUUUUUUCUCUUCAGAAUUUCUCUGAGGCUUAAUGCAAUCAAUUACUUCAUGACUUUAGUAGCAAAUCACUGAAGCCGGUGAAUUGCUUGCCUGUCUGGCUAGGUAAUUUUGUUCUAAUUGCUGCCCUUGUCCUAAAAUAGAAUAUAUUCACAAAAUACUGAUAUCUAUUCUAUUUUUUUGUAUAUGAAGCCUGUGACUUAUGGGCAAAGCCAUCUAAUUCCACAAUCACUCUCUGCUUUGGUAAUACUUGGUUUGGACCUGCAAGAAUUUGACUGAUUUUGGAGAAAGCUUUACUCUGCUACUGCCUGAGGGUAUGCUAUUAGAAUGUGCUUGCUCAAAAAUAAGGAGACACUCAAGUAAGGGAUGACAGACCAAGGGGGUCUCAGUGCCCUGAGCUUGAGGACCAUGACUGCAAGAAUGAUCAACUCCCAGUUGACCUGAAUUUGUGCAAGACCUGCUACUCCAGCUGGAUCCCUACAAAUCUAUGGGGCCUGAUGGGAUUCAUCCCAGAAUCCUCAAAGAGCUGACUGAUGUUAUCGCAAAGCCUCUCUCAAUUUUUGAGUUGUCUUGGGAAUCUGGAGAGUUCUCAGUUGACUGGAAGCUGGCAAAUGUUGUACCAAUUUUCAAUAAGGGCAAGAAGGAGGACUUUGUAACCUACAGGCCUGUCAGUCUCCCUUCAGUGCCUGGUAAAUUAUAGAGAAGAUUAUUCUGGGAGGUAUUGAAAAACACCUGAAAGACACAACCAGCAAGGUAGUCCUGCUUAUCAAACCCGAUUUCUGUUUAUGAUAAGGUAACCCACCUAGCUGAUCAGUAAAGCUUUAGAUACUGUCUUUCACAGGAUCCUUCUGGACAAACACAGCUGGAUAAACACAUCAUGUGGUGGGUGAGCAAUUGGCUCAUGGGUCGAGCACAGAGGGUGAUAGUGAAUGGGGGAACAUCAAACUGGCAACUUGUCACUAGUGGGGUUACACAGGGCUCCAUCUUAGGCCCCAUGCUCCUCAACAUCUUCAUAAAUGACUUGGAUGCAGGACUGGAAGGGAUACUAAGCAAGUUUGCAUAGGACACAAAACUCAGAGGAGCUCUUGACUCCCUCAAAGGCAGGGAGGCCCUGCAGAGAGACCUCCACAAAUUAGAGGACUGGGCAAUCACCAACCAUAUGAUGUUCAACAAGGGAAGUACCAGAUUCUGCACCUAGGAUGGGCAGCCCUGGAUGUCCAUACAGACUGUGGAAUGAGAUGCUGGAAAGCAGUACCAUGGAAAGCUGGAAAGCAGUACCUGGGAGUCCUGAUCAAUGGCAAGUUGAAUAUGAGUCAGCAGUGCCCUGGCAGCCAGGAGGGGCAACCGUGUCCUGGGGGGCAUCAGGCAAAGCAUCACCAGCUGGUCGAGGGAGGGGAUUGUCCCACUCUGCUCUACAUUGGGGUGGCCUCACCUUGAAUAUUGUGUGCAGUUUUGGGCACUGCAAUAUAAAAAAAGAUAUUAAGCUAUUAGAGAGUGUCCAAAGGAAGGCAAUGAAGAUGGUGAAGGGCCUUGAAGGGAAGCCGUAUGAGGAGCGGCUGAGGUCACAUGGUUUGUUCAGCCUGGAGAAAAGAAGGUUGAGGGGAGACCUCAUGGCAGUCUACAACUUCCUCAUGAGGGUGAGAGGAGGGGCAGGCACUGAUCUCUUCUCUGUGGUGACCAUGAGACAAAACCUGAGGUAAUGGCCUGAAGUUUUGUCAGGGGAGGUUUAGGUUGGAUAUUAGAAAAAGGUUCUUCACCCAGAGGGUGGUUGGGCACUGGAACAGGCUCCCCAGGGAAGUGGUCACAGCACCAAGCCUGACAGAGUUCAAGAAGCAUUUGGACAAUGGUCUCAGGCAAAUGGUGUGACUCUUAGGUAUGAUCCUGUGCAUGGCUAAGGAUUAGACUCAGUGAUGGUUGUAGGUUCCUUCCAACUCAGCAUAUUUUGUGAUUUGUACUGGUUUAACAAAACAAAAACAAAAACAGAAAAAGGUGAGAUUUCUAAAUGUUUUCUUAAGAUUUGUAAAAAUAAAUACCAGCAUGUUAAAUAAGUAUAAAUCAUGUUUAAAUACAUUCAUGUAUGCAUAAACAGGGUUUCAAAUCAACUCAUCUAAAUCAAUACUGAAAUAUUUAAACUAUAUCAGUUCAACACCUGAAAGUGAACUUGUAUGCGAUUUGUAUGGUACUCGGUCUUGUAAAUCUAUAUUGUCUUUUAACUUUCAAGGAUUAGAAUUGUAGAAGUGUUGAACUUAAAAUUACCCAAUGCUUUGCCUAUAAUACAUUUCAUUAUUAGAAAAUAUAGAAGGCAAUAAUUUUGGGGACAAAGGGGAUUGAGCUAUUCCAUUUUUUUAACUUUUACUUCACAUUUCUUGCUAUGAAUGUGUAAAAUUGGUUAAAUAAAAGAAAGUUCUCAGUCUGAGACUAAUUUAGGACAUAGACAAAUUACUUCCAAAUGCACAAGUAAUUCCUACUGUGAUUAUUACCCAUAAUCUUGAACAACUUGCAAAUCCUUUAAAAUAUCCAUUAACAAAAUGUGCUUUCAAAAUAGUCUUCUGAGAAAUGACUGUACACUCUUAUUUUUUGCAGAACUGGCUGCUGGUAAUUUCUCCAGGUGUACUUUCAUUUUUAGAAUUUAUGAUUUUGCCUUUGUCAUGUAUUUUCAUACAGCUGUGUUUUUUUAUAUAUUUUUUUUUGGUACUUUCCUUGUCUUUAUGGAGACUAGCAGAACUAAACUAUGGUGUACAUUUAAAAUACAAUAGCUAGAAUUAUAAAAGGCAAAGCAGUUUCUUAUUACAACCAUGCUUUUAAUGUCUAGUUAAAGUACUGUCAGACCAUAAGUAAAGCUAGAGCGUGUCUUUGCCACCCCAUAGAAGUAAAUCUCUUUACCUGAGGUUUCCACUCAGUAAGGUACAUCUGGAGGAAAAAAAAAAAAAUCCCAUCCUUAUUCUGCUUUAGGAAAAGACUGUCAUCAUAACACUACAGAAUUGAACUACAAACUACCAUGUUUUUUAGGUUUCUUUUUCCCUCCUUUGAAACCUAUCUACCUACCUAGACAAUUCCUUUUAAGGAAAAAACAAAUAUUAUAGCUAAGAUAACCUAUCUGCACAGUCACUUUAAGAUUUUUUGAAGAUGAAAGUAUAUGCUCAUAUCUUUUCUUUAGGAUUAUUUUCGUUCAGCUGUGUGAACAAACAAAUAAAGCUACAAAAGUGAGAAGCAGGUGUUAGAGUCACCAGUGGAACUCAGGCAUGGCAAUAUUGGCCGCUGUCACAUCAAACCAUGGGCAUAGAAAUAUCCACAAGCAAUACACAAACCGCUUUUUGGCAUUUGACCUCCUCAUAGUGCAGAAAAAUGAAGGAAUUCACAGGAGCCAAUGUGCUAAAGAUACCCUGAAGGAAGAGCUGAUGAAGAGGGAUUCUGCCUUACCUCUCUAUGCCUGGAGAACCUAGAUGUCUAAUGCUGCACUAGACAUAGAUGCUUAUUUUAAUUUGGGUUUUACAAGCCUUAACUUCUCCUAAAUUAGAACCAUAAAUCUUACAGUGACAACUUUAUUUCUACCACUGUACCUUUUCUACACUACUUCAUAACUCUUUCCUAUAGCAAAAUCUUUCUUACACUGGUUCUUGGAACAAACUUUCUGCUUCAGCAAUGAUCUUACAAACUUUCUAAAGAAAAGAAACUUGGAAAAUGCAAAAAUCUAGCAUUAUUUUUUCCCUGCAGGUAUAAUAUAAAUUGUAUAUGCUGUUAUUGCAAACUAUGGUUUUUCAACAGAUACCUUAAAAUUACUUUAAUUGUAAACCAAAACCUUAUUUUUAUUUCCAUAAUCCUUAUAGCUUGUUGCAUGGCACCAGGAUUCUGAUUCAGUAGAAGAGGAAUACCUGAGCAAGACCAAAUGAAGAUUUUUGGCUUUCACAUGGUUUUUAGUCUAGAACAUUUACUGUUAUUUUCUGUUGUUACGCGCAGAAUAGAGAAAUUUGUAGCUGCUAGGACAUUUGUGUUUCUAAGCAUCUUAAUUAAAAAAAAAGAAUUAAUAAAAUCCUCAUCUGUCAGUUUAAAGUGUCAUGAGUCCACUUUCAAAUGGAACAUUUGAACUGGGAAUAACAGAAUAACAAGCAAGAGAGAAAGUCUAUUAAAAACCAAUGAAAAUAUUCCAAAAUUUUCUUGUGAGUGGCUCAGGCUUUUAUCUGUAUGUCCUAGGAUACAUUUUCACUGUUCAAAUGCAUAAGGUGUAGCACAGUGUUCUCUCUAUUUUCUGUAUCCAAUGUGCCCUGGCAACAGCAAGCACUUAGUCAUUGUUUCCUGUUACUAUACAUGUGCUCUGUUUUUUCUUGCAGAGAUGAUAAUUACAGAACUUAUACUAAAAAACACAUCUUAAAAAAGAUGAAGAGGAAAAUAUCCCCAAAUUGUUUACAGCCAGACAGUCAAAAAAGCAGAAGUGAGACCUGUCUCAUUUUUGUACCCUGAUUCACCUGGUCUGGAUGGGGAGGAACAAAUUGUACACUGGAGAUCAAUGACAGAAAAGAAGCCAAACCCAAAUGGAAAUACUAGAAGGAAAAUAAUUGAUAGAAAUCAUGUUUCUGGCAACUCAGAGUGAAUGAGAAUGAAAAAUUAUUUCUGCUACCAGAGGAAGUCACUUUGGGCUAACAGAUUGGAACUUCUUGCAAGAAAGAAGGCUUGCAAACUUAGAAGAAAGCCUGGGAGUAUGACCAAGGUUUCAGGUACACCUGGAAUUAUAAAAAUACAGCACAAAAAAAAAAAACCCAUUAAAGAGAAUAGAUGUAAGAACAAGUUUAUUUAUUUGAAAAGAAACUUGUAGCAAUCAACUACAAUGCAAUGGGAGCAAUAUGAAUAAUGGCUGUUUCCAAGCCUAAUUGAUUAUUAAAAGCUAAAACUUGGUACCAGAUUUGAACACAGGAGGCAGAAAACAACAGUUCUGAGCACAUUUUAUUGCAUAAUUUUCUGCCCCAUAAAUUCUGUAACAUUUUAUAUCUGAACCAUGGAAGUAAUGUGGCUAAUGUGUUUUAUCAUCUUUGAUAAAGAGAAACAAAGCACAGUUAUUAACAAUCAUUCGGUCAUUUUUUCACUGCUAGUAUCGACUAGAAAUGUCAUAAUUGAAAUAACUUCUAUUUUAUUAUGAAGAAUCGUGUUUUGCUCAGGGCAAUGCUAUUUUUUGUAGUUCCAGUUAUUUCUUGAUGAUUUCCAAUUCUUCAGCUGUGUUUAAAUAUUUAAUAAUGUCACUGAAGCUACCAUUUAACAGCCUCUUAGAAACAUCAUUAAAAAAUCAUGUCAGAAAUCAGUUAAAGCAACUGAUAUAAAAUAAAAAUAGUAAGUUUGUGCCCCAACUUUUAAUUUUCCAAUUUGUAGAUUUUUAAAAGCAAUCUUAGGAAGAUUUUGUAUCUGUUUAUGCCUGUGAAUGAGCAGAAACACAAUGAAGAAAGUUUACUCUGCAUAAUUUUUGACAUAUUAGCAACUGGAAUUUCAUGAGGCUGUGCUUUUGAUCUAAUCUAACUUCAGACUCCCUUAGUUUAUGGAUUUUAACAGCUUUGGAAUAUACUGUUAAAUGAAAUGUGACAUGGAUUGGUGUUUGUAGGUCUUGCUUCAUGUAUCUACAAGAAAAAAUACUGGCAGAAGACUUUAAAAACGACUUCUCAGAAACUUUUUCAUUGUUAUUUGCUCCACUUAAAACUCACAUUUGUCUAAGAUAGUUAUUGUAUGUGAUUCUUAUGCAUGUAUUGUAAAUAACUGCAAAGAGCAAAAUUCAGCAC